rnacentral:rRNA from 1 species
AACGAACGCUGGCGGCAGGCUUAACACAUGCAAGUCGAGCGCCCCGCAAGGGGAGCGGCAGACGGGUGAGUAACGCGUGGGAACGUACCUUUUGGUUCGGAACAACUCCGGGAAACUGGAGCUAAUACCGGAUAAGCCCUAACGGGGAAAGAUUUUUCGCCGAAAGAUCGGCCCGCGUCUGAUUAGCUAGUUGGUGAGGUAACGGCUCACCAAGGCGACGAUCAGUAGCUGGUCUGAGAGGAUGAUCAGCCACACUGGGACUGAGACACGGCCCAGACUCCUACGGGAGGCAGCAGUGGGGAAUAUUGGACAAUGGGCGCAAGCCUGAUCCAGCCAUGCCGCGUGAGUGAUGAAGGCCUUAGGGUUGUAAAGCUCUUUUGUCCGGGAAGAUAAUGACUGUACCGGAAGAAUAAGCCCCGGCUAACUUCGUG